CCGCGAGGCCGAGCCGGCCGUGAGGAGGUAGUGCGGGGCCGCGCGAUGCUCCAACGCCGCAGGGCAGCUCCGGGCUCCGAGCGCCGCUUCAGCUUCUACAAGUCAGCUCGUGUUGGAAGUUGGUGGUGUCACUGUAUGAAUGAAGGUCAGUUCAGGAGCAGCUGCUGAUGGAAGGAAUGAAGUCCACGGUAAUGAGCUGAAUCAUCUCCUGGUCAUCUGGUCCAAC